rnacentral:rRNA from 1 species
GACGAACGCUGGCGGCGUGCUUAACACAUGCAAGUCGAACGGACAGGCCCUGCUCUUGUGGGGUGCUCGAGUGGCGAACGGGUGAGUAACACGUGAGUAACCUGCCCUUGACUUUGGGAUAACUUCAGGAAACUGGGGCUAAUACCGGAUAGGAGCUCCUGCUGCAUGGUGGGGGUUGGAAAGUUUCGGCGGUUGGGGAUGGACUCGCGGCUUAUCAGCUUGUUGGUGGGGUAGUGGCUUACCAAGGCUUUGACGGGUAGCCGGCCUGAGAGGGUGACCGGGCACAUUGGGACUGAGAUACGGCCCAGACUCCUACGGGAGGCAGCAGUGGGGAGUAUUGCACAAUGGGCGGAAGCCUGAUGCAGCAACGCCGCGUGCGGGAUGACGGCCUUCGGGUUGUAAACCGCUUUCGCCUGUGACGAAGCGUGAGUGACGGUAAUGGGUAAAGAAGCACCGGCUAACUACGUG